rnacentral:rRNA from 1 species
CUUCCAUCUGGAAGAAUCUGGAGACAGGUGCUGCAUGGCUGUCGUCAGCUCGUGUCGUGAGAUGUUGGGUUAAGUCCCGCAACGAGCGCAACCCUGCCUUUAGUUGCCAGCAGUUCGGCUGGGCACUCUAAAGGGACUGCCGGUGUUAAACCGGAGGAAGGUGGGGAUGACGUCAAGUCCUCAUGGCCUUUAUGACCAGGGCUACACACGUACUACAAUGGCCGAUACAAAGGGCAGCGACACUGCGAGGUGAAGCCAAUCCCGUAAAAAUCGGUCUCAGUCCGGAUUGGAGUCUGCAACUCGACUCCAUGAAGUUGGAAUCGCUAGUAAUCGUGGAUCAGCAUGCCACGGUGAAUACGUUCCCGGGCCUU